rnacentral:rRNA from 1 species
ACGUAGGGUGCAAGCGUUAAUCGGAAUUACUGGGCGUAAAGCGUGCGCAGGCGGUUCGGAAAGAAGGAUGUGAAAACCAAGGGGGGAACCUUGGAACUGCAUUCUUAACUGCCGAACUAGAGUAUGUCAGAGGGGGGUAGAAUUCCGCGUGUAGCAGUGAAAUGCGUAGAUAUGUGGAGGAAUACCGAUGGCGAAGGCAGCCCCCUGGGAUAAUACUGACGCUCAUGCACGAAAGCGUGGGGAGCAAACAG